rnacentral:rRNA from 1 species
CAGCAGCCGCGGGAAAACGUAGGUGGCAAGCGUUGUCCGGAAUUAUUGGGCGUAAAGGGCUCGCAGGCGGUUUCUUAAGUCUGAUGUGAAAGCCCCCGGCUCAACCGGGGAGGGUCAUUGGAAACUGGGAAACUUGAGUGCAGAAGAGGAGAGUGGAAUUCCACGUGUAGCGGUGAAAUGUGUAGAGAUGUGGAGGAACACCAGUGGCGAAGGCGACUCUCUGGUCUGUAACUGACGCUGAGGAGCGAAAGCGUGGGGAGCGAACAGGAUUAGAUACCCGUGUAGUCCCUGUCUCUUAUAC